rnacentral:rRNA from 1 species
CACCGGCGGCUCGAGUGGUGGCCACUUUUAUUGGGUCUAAAGCGUCCGUAGCCGGCUUGGCAAGUCCCCUGGGAAAUCUGGCGGCUUAACCGUCAGGCGUCCAGAGGAUACUGCCAGGCUUGGGACCGGGAGAGGUGAGAGGUACCUCAGGGGUAGGGGUGAAAUCUUGUGAUCCCUGAGGGACCACCAGUGGCGAAGGCGUCUCACUAGAACGGGUCCGACGGUCAGGGACGAAAGCUGGGGGAGCGAACCGG